GACGAACGCUGGCGGCGUGCUUAACACAUGCAAGUCGAACGGUGACCCUCGGAGCUUGCUUCGGGGUGAGCAGUGGCGAACGGGUGAGUAACACGUGAGUAACCUGCCCCUGACUCUGGAAUAAGCGCUGGAAACGGCGUCUAAUACCGGAUACGACACGCCUCCGCAUGGGGAGCGUGUGGAAGGUUUUUCGGUCUGGGAUGGACUCGCGGCCUAUCAGCUUGUUGGUGAGGUAAUGGCUCACCAAGGCGAUGACGGGUAGCCGGCCUGAGAGGGCGACCGGCCACACUGGGACUGAGACACGGCCCAGACUCCUACGGGAGGCAGCAGUGGGGAAUAUUGCACAAUGGGCGAAAGCCUGAUGCAGCGACGCCGCGUGAGGGAUGACGGCCUUCGGGUUGUAAACCUCUUUCAGCAGGGAAGAAGCGAAAGUGACGGUACCUGCAGAAGAAGCACCGGCUAACUACGUGCCAGCCGCCGCCGUAACAC
rnacentral:rRNA from 1 species